AGGACGAACGCUGGCGGCGUGCUUAACACAUGCAAGUCGAGCGGAAAGGCCCUUCGGGGUACUCGAGCGGCGAACGGGUGAGUAACACGUGAGUAAUCUGCCCCUAGCUCUGGGAUAGCUCCGGGAAACCGGGAUUAAUACCAGAUACGACCACUUUAGACAUCUGUUGUGGUGGAAAGAAUUUUGGCUAGGGAUGAGCUCGCGGCCUAUCAGCUUGUUGGUGAGGUAACGGCUCACCAAGGCGACGACGGGUAGCCGGCCUGAGAGGGCGACCGGCCACACUGGGACUGAGACACGGCCCCAGACUCCUACGGGAGGCAGCAGUGGGGAAUAUUGCGCAAUGGGCGAAAGCCUGACGCAGCGACGCCGCGUGGGGGAUGAAGGCCUUCGGUUGUAAACCCUUUCAGCAGGACGAAGCGAAAGUGACGGUACCUGCAGAAGAAGCGCGGCUAACUACGCGCCAGCAGCCGC
rnacentral:rRNA from 1 species